GCGCCCGUAGUUCAAAUGGAAGAGCAGUGGGACGGCUCCCCACGAUCUAAGGUUCAAGUCCUGGCGGUCGCU